rnacentral:rRNA from 1 species
UCUACAGGCUUAACACAUGCAAGUCGAGGGGCAGCAUUUCAGUUUGCUUGCAAACUGGAGAUGGCGACCGGCGCACGGGUGAGUAACACGUAUCCAACCUGCCGAUAACUCGGGGAUAGCCUUUCGAAAGAAAGAUUAAUACCCGAUGGUAUAAUCAGACCGCAUGGUCUUGUUAUUAAAGAAUUUCGGUUAUCGAUGGGGAUGCGUUCCAUUAGGCAGUUGGUGAGGUAACGGCUCACCAAACCUUCGAUGGAUAGGGGUUCUGAGAGGAAGGUCCCCCACAUUGGAACUGAGACACGGUCCAAACUCCUACGGGAGGCAGCAGUGAGGAAUAUUGGUCAAUGGGCGCAGGCCUGAACCAGCCAAGUAGCGUGAAGGAUGACUGCCCUAUGGGUUGUAAACUUCUUUUAUAUGGGAAUAAAGUUUUCCACGUGUGGAAUUUUGUAUGUACCAUAUGAAUAAGGAUCGGCUAACUCCGUGCCAGCAGCCGCGGUAAUACGGAGGAUCCGAGCGUUAUCCGGAUUUAUUGGGUUUAAAGGGAGCGUAGGUGGACAGUUAAGUCAGUUGUGAAAGUUUGCGGCUCAACCGUAAAAUUGCAGUUGAUACUGGCUGUCUUGAGUACAGUAGAGGUGGGCGGAAUUCGUGGUGUAGCGGUGAAAUGCUUAGAUAUCACGAAGAACUCCGAUUGCGAAGGCAGCUCACUGGACUGCAACUGACACUGAUGCUCGAAAGUGUGGGUAUCAAACAGGAUUAGAUACCCUGGUAGUCCACACAGUAAACGAUGAAUACUCGCUGUUUGCGAUAUACAGUAAGCGGCCAAGCGAAAGCAUUAAGUAUUCCACCUGGGGAGUACGCCGGCAACGGUGAAACUCAAAGGAAUUGACGGGGGCCCGCACAAGCGGAGGAACAUGUGGUUUAAUUCGAUGAUACGCGAGGAACCUUACCCGGGCUUAAAUUGCAUUUGAAUAUAUUGGAAACAGUAUAGCCGUAAGGCAAAUGUGAAGGUGCUGCAUGGUUGUCGUCAGCUCGUGCCGUGAGGUGUCGGCUUAAGUGCCAUAACGAGCGCAACCCUUAUCUUUAGUUACUAACAGGUCAUGCUGAGGACUCUAGAGAGACUGCCGUCGUAAGAUGUGAGGAAGGUGGGGAUGACGUCAAAUCAGCACGGCCCUUACGUCCGGGGCUACACACGUGUUACAAUGGGGGGUACAGAAGGCAGCUACCUGGUGACAGGAUGCUAAUCCCAAAAGCCUCUCUCAGUUCGGAUCGAAGUCUGCAACCCGACUUCGUGAAGCUGGAUUCGCUAGUAAUCGCGCAUCAGCCAUGGCGCGGUGAAUACGUUCCCGGGCCUUGUACACACCGCCCGUCAAGCCAUGAAAGCCGGGGGUACCUGAAGUACGUAACCGCAAGGAGCGUCCUAGGGUAAAACUGGUAAUUG